GAUGAACGCCGGCGGCGUGCCUAAUACAUGCGAGUCGAGCGAACAGACGAGGAGCUUGCUCCUCUGACGUUAGCGGCGGACGGGUGAGUAACACGUGGAUAACCUACCUAUAAGACUGGGAUAACUUCGGGAAACCGGAGCUAAUACCGGAUAAUAUAUUGAACCGCAUGGUUCAAUAGUGAAAGACGGUUUUGCUGUCACUUAUAGAUGGAUCCGCGCCGCAUUAGCUAGUUGGUAAGGUAACGGCUUACCAAGGCAACGAUGCGUAGCCGACCUGAGAGGGUGAUCGGCCACACUGGAACUGAGACACGGUCCAGACUCCUACGGGAGGCAGCAGUAGGGAAUCUUCCGCAAUGGGCGAAAGCUUGACGGAGCAACGCCGCGUGAGUGAUGAAGGUCUUCGGAUCGUAAAACUCUGUUAUUAGGGAAGAACAAAUGUGUAAGUAACUAUGCACGUCUUGACGGUACCUAAUCAGAAAGCCACGGCUAACUACGUG
rnacentral:rRNA from 1 species